rnacentral:lncRNA from 1 species
GCCUCUUAGGAGCCACAGCAUCGCAUCUGCAGGAUCCGGCCACGGCUCGCUGGAGGAUAAAGCAGUGACGGCUCCGGGACCCCAGGAAGCAGACACCACAUGCCCUGUCUGCUGCGAUCUCUGCUUUCUCAGAUCUGCCGCUCACACUUUUCUGGCCUCUUCCUCUGGCCACCACAGCCAGCAUGCCUCUCCACAACAGCAAAUGCCUCCUGCCCUCCAUGCUCUGUGCUCCAGCCAUCCUGUGGCCAAAACCUUGCAGAGCCAGAGCCCGAGCGGCCUGAGCCAGGGCUGAGGAUGCCCCUGUGAGCAAAGCGGUGCCCUCACUGUCACCUUCGGGAUGUGACGUGGCUCCCUAGGGCUUCCUGGACGCCUGCAUCAGCAGCACAUGGGUGUCGUCUGCUCACGGGGAAGCACGUGAACACCUGGCUGUGCCUGACUCCCAUCAGCCACAAUGUUUGGUCUUAGGGAGGCUGCAAACCCAUCUGCCAGGUGACAGUCAAUCUCCUGAGGUGGACAGCCAUGAGGGACAGGUGCCACCUGGGCCUGCCCAGACCCGGGGUCUCAGUCAGAGAGAGGAGGACGGAGGGUCUGUCUGCUGGAGCUGGAUACCGCCGUAAUAUCAGGUGCCUUGAGAGGCAGGCACAAAGCCUAGCUUCCGUCCCAGGCAUGUGAGUGUGUGCUUUCAGGACGAGCGCAGCCCACACAACAGACCCUUUCUUUGCAAAGGAGACACAAAAUGAAGUGAAACAAUUCAAUGGCUGCUAAGAGGGUUUCUCAUCCUGGAUGCUACCUGAGUGUGUUCCACCUGGCCCACGACAGGCGCACCCUUCCUGGGGGAAACGGAACAGGGGCGCCAGUGCCUUCCCAGCUUUAGAUUCUUGCAUAGUUCAUCGCAGUACUGACUCAAGCUUAACGCUUUCAUUUGGGGCUUGCAGUUUUCAUCAUUACUCACCCCUAACGGCUCAGCAGUCUCUCUCAGCUGAGCUCCUGAUGUGCCUCAUUUACCCUUGAGCCUCGAGCCAGAGGGAGCUGUCUGUCUGUAAGGGCUUGUGUGAUUCAAUUAGGCCACUCUGCUCUUAUCCCUUAAAAGCGCACUGAUGAGUAACUUUAAUUACAUCUGCAGCAUCCCUCUGCUCUAUAAAAUGACACACGGACUGGAGUAGAACCAGGGCAGCUGCCAUGGGAGGUAAACUUCUGCCUGUCACCAGCUGUCACUGGGGCGGCUCUGCACUGGCUGCCCAGCCUUCAGGCUCUUCUCCUGUGUCCCAGGUCUCAGACCCGAGGAUACACCUGCUCUCAGCACAAUCAUGACAAAUGGAACAAACAAGGAAAGAUUCUGAGCAGUGUCGGAUUUAUGGGCUUGGCCAGCAGCCUUUCUGCAGGGCCACGUGGCCGGGUAAGCAGCUUGUCCAGCAGCACCCCAAGAGAGCGCGGUCCCCUCCGAACACCAAAAAGACUCAGGGUGCCACUCGUCUGCCAGACUGAGUGGUUCGUGCCUGAAACGCUCAGCAGGACAAGAUAAUUUCUGGAUCAUACAUGUGUCCAGUUUUGCUUGUCUGUACAGAUGGACUUUCCGUCUUACCUGUCCUGGACCUUGGUCCUGUUCAGCUUGUACAGACCGACCUCAAGUCGAAUCGGAGGUGCCAGUCUGCAAAGGUCCUUUAGGAUCAUUUACACCCAAACCAUGUGCGGGUGAUCAGGCCAACGGGCAUCUUCCUACUCAAGUGAGAGUCCUUCUCUAGAGGCGGGGGCGGCAGGAAGGAAAAUUCACGGGUCAAAUUCAGUGCAUUAUAACAAUAUGUACUGCCGAAUGGCUCCUCAAAAAAUAGCACUAUUUUAUCCUCAAAUUAGCAUAUUUGUGGAUUUAUCGCCCCGUGGUCCGACCACCCCGGAUAUUCUGACACAUUCAUACAAUGCUCUUCUCAACGGUUGCCCACCAGACAGGUAACAAGAACCUCACGUCGCCUUAGUUUCCUUUUCCAGAGUGGUAAUUAUUUCCUCACUGUCCCGUUGGGCAAACAGAAACCAGUUCAGUUAGUCUCAGACCAGUGCCUGUCGGGAUUGGAGAGAGGCGGCUGGAGGCCUGGGAACACACCGCGUUGCCCGAGACGAGAGAGGCCACGUGCAGGGAGCUGGCGCCGUCUGCCAGGCUGCAUGUGCCAAGGACAAGACUCGGGGCCUGCAGAGCCCACGCCCUUGGGAAAGGGCCAUCAGCUGCCCAUGCGGAUACCUCCGGGGCUGGGCAGGCAGAGGGCUACUCAGAGCUGGGACUCCGACCUUGCAGAAAGUCCUGCCCGGAGGACAGGUGGAACCGCAAGGUUCUAGAGGAAGACGUAGGGGUGCCUCUUCUUGACGUUAUAGCAUUUAUGAACUUGGCGUCAGAAAAGCUUUCUCGAAUGGAACUCCAAAGAAGCAAUAACCGUCAAGUCAAAGAUUGUUCAAUUGGACUUGGUUAAGAUUAAAGUAAAAAACAACAGCCACAGAUUGGAAGCAUGUAUUUGCGAUACAUUUAUCCCGUAAAUGAUUCAUGCCCAGAACAUCUAAAGAACUGUUGCAAAUGAAUUUUUUUAAAAAGAGCCCCAUUAAAACAAUCAAAAGUAGGAACAGGCCCUUCAAAAAAGAAGCUAUUCAAACGUCUAAGCAGGCUUGGAAAGCCAAUUAUACACCAUUACUGUUGAGGAAAUGCAAAUUAAAAUGAGUAUGUCAUACAUAGCACACACAUCAGAAUGGCUAAAAUUAAAAAGACUAAAUACAAAUUUUAAGACUGGCAAGACAAGCGUUGCUGAUGGGAGUGUACACUGGUAAAACAACAACUUGGGGAAACUGCUUGGCGAUAUCUAGACAGCUGAACACACAGGCACAGCCCUGGUGACACAGCCUGAGGGGGACUAUUGCUUAUGGUCACGGAAAGACAUGCAAGGAGGCAAAAGCUAGAAAAAUCAAGACAAUUAGAAAUUUUACAUCCCAAGGCAAACAGAUCCAUAUAUUUUGGUACACUCAAACCAUAGCACUAUAGCACAUGGCAGUGGUGAAAUGGACCAUUGCUACAUGAAAUAAUAUGAAUUUCACACAUAAUUUUGAGUGGAAAAACUGGGUAUUAAAAAGUACGUAAUGUGGAGUUCCCACUGUGGCUCAGUGGGUUACGAACCCGACUAGCAUCCGUGAGGUCUCGGUUUCAAUCCCUGGCCUUGCUCAGUGGGUGAAGGACCCUGCAUUGCCGUGAGCUGUGGUGCAGUGGGUUAAGGAUCCGGAGCUGUGUCACAGCCUAUGGCAGAGGUUGCAACUCCGGCCUCGGAUUCGAUCCCUGGCCGGGGAACUCCAUGUGUCCUGGGGCAGCCAAAAAAGAAAAAAAAAAAAAAGUCUACAAACAAUAAAUACUGCAGAGGGCGUGGAGAAAAGGGAACUCUCCUACACUGCUGAUGGGAACGUAAAUUGGUGCAGCCACUAGGGGGCACAGUAUGGAGGCUCCUCAAAAAGCUAAACAUAGAACCACGGGAUGAUCCUGCAAUCCCACUCCUGGGCAGAUAUCGGGAGGAAACCAUAAUUUGAAAAGAUACACACACCCCAAUGUUCACAGCAGCACUGUUUACAAGAGCCAAGACAUGGAAGCCACCCAAGUGUCCAUCCACAGAUGAAAGGGUGAAGAAGUUGUGUAUAUACACAAAGGAAUAUGACUCACCCAUAAAGAGAAUGAAAUAACGCCACUUGCAGCAACAUGGACAGACUAGAUAUUAUUAUUAUAUACCAAGUGAAGUCAGAGAAAGACAAGUAUCAUAUGAAAUCGCGUGUGAAGACUAAUUUCUUAGCUGAAACAAAUGAAAAUAAAUAAAUAAACAGCAAAGAAUAAGUUUAAAGUUGAUAAUCUCAGUAAGAUAUUCAUUCUGGAUGGUUGUUUCUUCAAUCCAAUAUAACCUCGUGGGACCCUCCAUAAUAUUAAUUUUGGGUGGAUUUCUGUUGAUUUUCCACCCUUCUUUGAAGAAGAGCUGUGUCCUCUGGUAUCUAAUGAGGUACCGGAUCUGAGCGAGCUCAGCAAGUCUGAGUGCUGUGCAAACCGAAGACGCGGCAGGUGCAUUAGGGGUGGACCUGCGCGGGUCGCAGUGUUAAGUUGAUCAACCAAAUGCCUAAGAACCAAAGACGCAGGAAAGCCUCGCCUUUUCUGUCCACAGGCCAAGCAACAGUCUAGGGACUGAUGAUCUACUGCCCUCUGCUGGUUCUGGUUGGAAUCCCUCCUCAAGAUCGAGUCCAGGAAAAAGGCCUCAGAAUAGGGUUUUUAGGGGUGUUUCCCCUUAAACACAAAACAAGCAAAAAAUAAAAUAAAAACAUGACGGUCCUGAUGUGUCGCCUUGAGCGAAUAUCCAGGAAGCAGGAAGCAUUCUGAUCCCACAUAAAAUUCCGGGUGGACGCUGCUUUGCCCUUCAUGUCACCCGAAGUCAUCCAAACAGGAGCAUGCCAGCCUGAGCCCAGGCGCCCGACCCCCAGUGGGCUCAUGACGGCUCCUCUCCCGGGAGUGGGGUCCAGCAGCGGCCCCGUCUGCAGAGGCCCAGUCGAGCAACUGUUCAAAGGCAGGAAAACUGCUGCCUCUCACCCUCUCUCCCGCUGGCUUGCGUUUCUCUCUGUAGCUGUAGCUGCGUGUCCCCGGCUCCACGUGCAAUGCACGUUUGCACGUCCACAGCCUGUUUUACGGUCUGUCGUGUGUCGGCCUCCCUUGUCGGUCUGUCUCCACUCUCCUGCCUGCUUUUCUCUGCGUUGUCCCUCUGUCUUUCUACAUGUGUCUUUGUUCAUGUGUCUAUUAAAGGGUCCAUCUUUCUGACCUGAUCUUUGUCGGUCUAUCAGGCUCUGUGUCUUCUGGUCUUUCUGUCAUUUUAUCUGUCUCGGUCUAUCUACAUAACUUCUCUUCUCUCGGGAUGUCUGUCUGUGUGUAUCAACACACACAGACAUCAUCUGUCAGUCUUUUUGUCUGUCUUUUAUCUGCAGGCUGUAUUUGUCUUUCCAGCUGUCUGUUUAUAUGUCACUUGGCUUAACAUUUGCGAGGAAAUGUGUGAUGUGUUGACUGAUGGCGUGAGUGCGUGCACCAGGGCAUGUGUGCAGUGCUGUGUUCAGGGGAGUGAGUGUGUGAGAUGCUGCGUGUAAGCACCUCACCCGGGGCGGGGGUGCCCUGUAUGACGGCACCUUAAAGACAC